CACAAGUUCCCAUGACAGAAACAGACACGAUGAAGCUCUGCAUUCACUCAUAAUCCGACAAUGUGGCAACUUGCUGCAGAGGUGUGUGUGUGUGUGUGUGUGUGUGUGUGUGUGUGUGUGUGUGUUUGUGCUUUAAAGCAUAACUGCUGCGCAUCAAUCUGAAAAGAACGUUUUAUUCCUCUGAUUCCCUGCUUUGUUAGGCGCUCCUGUUCAUUCAUUCACUCUCUAGCUCGUUCAACCACCGCUGUAUUCUCUGUCCCCUUCAGAAUCAGGUUUAUUGCCAAAGUAAGUUAUACUUACAAGGAAUUUUCCUUGGUGGUUGGUGCAUACAUGAACUAACAAACAUAUUAAACAGUAUGAAAUAAACAAUAAAUAAGCCAAUACUCACUACAUAUACUACCUUAAGAUGUUUCUCAAAUAUAUGUUGUCUAAGCUAAUUGAAUGCUAUUAAUCACUAUAUACUGUAAGCUAGAGCAGUAUAGUGAAAGGUCUUUAAAAUAUUCGUCCUCAGUAUAAUGCAGUCAAUAUGUGUCAUUGUUGAUAUGACAAUGGGUCGACUCGACGUGGAGUGAGAGGUAUGUUAACAGAACAGGCAUACCAGCCGUUGUCUCAGCUCAGGCCUGAAGAGUGUACACAGGCACUCCUGGAUCAAUAGAAACACAGACGAAGGCCAGCAAUCACGUACUGAAGUCCCUCCUCCUGCAUUUAGUGUUUACUUAGUCUUUAUCUAGCAAACUGCCUGCUUCUCAUUUGUUCUGUAGCGUUCUGGCUUUACAUACAGGCAAUAAUGUAAAGGAUGUUUCAGAGCAGAUGACUGAUACUGAGCUGAUAGCACAGACGGACUAAAAGAGAAAGGGUCAGAAAGAUUGUAUGAUAGAGAUCAGUGUGAGUCAGAGAGGAAAGCGGUGUGGGCCUCAUCUAAGUCCUCACCUCCCUUGGACACCGUUGAGAUGUUGCCAUGGCAUCCUUUACCCAAGUUACUGC